UACGAAGGGUGCAAACGUUGCUCGGAAUUAUUGGGCGUAAAGCGCACGUAGGCGGCUUAGCAAGUCGGAUGUGAAAUCCCUCGGCUCAACCAAGGAAGUGCAUCCGAAACUGCUGAGCUUGAGUACUUAAGAGGAUCGCGGAAUUCCCGGUGUAGAGGUGAAAUUCGUAGAUAUCCGGAGGAACACCGGUGGCGAAGGCGGCUUCCUGGACCGACACUGACGCUGAGGCGCGAAAGCUAGGGGAGCAAACGGG
rnacentral:rRNA from 1 species